UAGAGUUUGAUCAUGGCUCAGGAUGAACACUAGCGGCAGGCUUAACACAUGCAAGUCGAAGGGCAUCGCGGGGAGUGCUUGCACUCCCUGGCGGCGACUGGCGCACGGGUGAGUAACACGUAUGCAACCUGCCCUCCACAGGGGGACAACCUUCCGAAAGGGAGGCUAAUCCCGCGUAAAUCUCGAUGGGGCAUCCCAUUGAGAGGAAAGCUUCGGCGGUGGAGGAUGGGCAUGCGGCGCAUUAGCUAGUCGGCGGGGUAACGGCCCACCGAGGCGACGAUGCGUAGGGGUUCUGAGAGGAAGGUCCCCCACACUGGUACUGAGACACGGACCAGACUCCUACGGGAGGCAGCAGUGAGGAAUAUUGGUCAAUGGGCGGGAGCCUGAACCAGCCAAGCCGCGUGAGGGAAUAAGGCCCUAUGGGUCGUAAACCUCUUUUGUCGGGGAACAAAAGCGGGGACGCGUCCCCGUCUGCGUGUACCCGAAGAAAAAGCAUCGGCUAACUCCGUGCCAGCAGCCGCGGUAAUACGGAGGAUGCGAGCGUUAUCCGGAUUUAUUGGGUUUAAAGGGUGCGUAGGCGGUAUGGUAAGUCAGCGGUAAAAGCCCGGGGCUCAACCCCGGCGAGCCGUUGAAACUGCCGUGCUAGAGAGGAAGAGAAGUAGGCGGAAUGCGCAGUGUAGCGGUGAAAUGCUUAGAUAUUGCGCAGAACUCCGAUUGCGAAGGCAGCCUACCGGCUUCUGUCUGACGCUGAGGCACGAAAGCGUGGGUAUCGAACAGGAUUAGAUACCCUGGUAGUCCACGCAGUAAACGAUGAAUGCCGGCUGUNCCGGUCCGACUGAGGGCUGGGUGGCGAAGCGAAAGCGAUAAGCAUUCCACCUGGGGAGUACGCCGGCAACGGUGAAACUCAAAGGAAU
rnacentral:rRNA from 1 species